rnacentral:tRNA from 1 species
GCUGUCGUCGUCUAACGGUCAGGACCCCGGGUUCUCAGCUCGGGCAAUGCGGGUUCGAGUCCCGUCGACAGCU